UUCCAGCUUCCUUCCCUCUGAGGAAACCAGAGGCAGUCCUCCCUCUCUAUAAAGAUGCCCAGGAGGAAAGACUCACAGGGAGAAACCUAUGCCUGCCUGCUAGGAAAGGGUGGGCAGGCGGGGGAAAACCUGGUUAUACCUGUCAACCCAUCCUCCCCAGCCUCCCAGCUGAAACGGCCGCCAUGGAGCAACAGGUCCCUCCCUCAGGCCAGGAUGUCCUGCUUGGAGCCCAUUUCCUGUUAAGCAGAGAGGUCAUGAUAUGGUCCUGCUGAGAAUCCCUGGGCUUCCCGGUUUGCUCCGAGCAGACUCCCUUGGCAGGUGGCCUCUUGACCCUUGUUCAGUGACUAGGCUUUACCACAGAUAACCAGGUUUCCAGGAUGAUGAACUCCUGCCCUUACAUUUCCAAAGGGUACAACGGAGUUUUCCAGAGGCUAUGUGAUAUGUGAUAGUCAUCACUCUGACAGCUAUUGGAAGGCUGAAUUCAUGAGGGACCUCCUGAAGUCAUCUCUGGCCCCUGCCCUGAGGGAAGAGCUGAAAUAAUCUUCACAGAAAAUUCAUGUCUUAGAAACAGCAG